GAAGGACGCUGUGAUAGAGGCCCACGUCAGGGAGCUGGCGGAAGGCACCAGGAGGGCCCAGGACACUCUGCAGACCCGGCUGCACGUCCCUUACGGGGACAGUGAUGGGGAGAAACUGGACAUGUACUUACCCACGGAACCCUCCGGAGCCUUCCCGCUCCUCCUGUACAUCCACGGGGGCUACUGGCAGUUUUUAAGGUGAGGCAAGUCCCGUUCUGGGAGCUGUGGAAGGGGCCAGGAGGGUAGCUCUGCCUGGGCUGGGUGCUGCAGGGCCUCCAGGCAGACCACCCCUGCCCUGGGAGCCCCCCCGUGGCUGGCGGGCCCUGGGGCUGCUGGGCU